GGAUAGCUCAGAUGGUGGAACACGAGUCUCUAAAUCUCAGGGUUGUGGGUUCAAGCCCCACGUUGGGCA